AGAAGGGCUUUUUUCCUAUUUUAUUUUCUGUUUUAGACAAGAUGUAUUUUAAAAUUGAAAGAAUUAAUUGGUUCAUUUUCUUUAAAGAAUGAAAAAUGAGCACAGGCUGCUAUGCUGCUCGGUUAGAAACAUCAGACUGUGGCUACUGACAACUCACUGAACCCUGGACUGUGGCAUCACAGCUGGCCACAGUGUAAUUCUUUGUGGAAGAUGGAGAUCUCUUACACACCAGUGAGGUUGCACUUCCCCUCCACCCAGUUGCUCCCGAGAUUCUCACACGUGAAUAACUGCCCCUAUGGUCUGACUGGGCCCGAAGCCACACCACCAAGCUGUGAUCUUGGCAAAACCCACAAGGUAAAUAAGGCUGGGCACAAAGUACAACUGGAUGGGAGGCAUGUGAGUGCUGAAGGAUGAGAUCCUGGUGAUUCCGACAGCAGCACAAGCUCAUCUGAAACAAUGCUCGGGAACAGUGCCCAAAGUAAGCUCUAGAGGUAAACACUACAUAGCAAGGGCUGUAUCCAUCUCCAGUUGAGGAGAUGUUUAAAAGGUUAAACACUUCAAGUUUCCUGGGCAAAUCCCAAUUAUCUUCAUUUUAUUUUGAGCUACUACAAAAAAACCCCCACCAAAAUCUAAACAUUUAUUGAUUUUUGUUUUCUCCUGUGCAGAUAGAGUGCUGUGAAGAUGCAACAAAGUGCUACCAUGCUCUUUUGCAAGACAGGAUGUGCUUCAUGGGUUCCAAAUCACCUCUAUAUUGGCUUUGUAAGAUCAGCUGAUUGCCUCAGAGCUAAAAAACACCAAGAAGAUGCCAAGCCAUAUUGUUAGGGCAAUUUUUUUUUGUUUAGUGUUGUGAAAUGGAACUAUCUGCAUGAGUACCAAUCAAUAAUCAAAGCCAACCAUGGCCAGAUGACAAAUCCCUCUGCUUCUGCAGGUCUAAAUGUCCAAUUACCAGUGCCAUUUGAAUUCUGGUUCAUUCUUAAGUUCUGAUCAAAGCUAACAUAGCUGGGAAGACAAUGCUUUCCACACUCCGCCUUCCCCCCUGCUCUGAAAUCAUCUGUCUCAAAGUCAGAAGUCUAAAUGGAGUGUAGGGCAAGUUCAAAGCAGGGAGGGUUGCUGGGAGUCUACUGCCAAUUCCACUCUGCAGUCACAGCUUGCUCCCACAGCUCCAUUAGCUGCCUGCAAUCAAGGGCAGACGACUCAGCCCUUGCUGUCCAGGUUUAAUAGGUUCAGCUAGUUAAUGAGCAAUGGCUAGAUUGCAUUCCAAGACUUCACAUCAUUCAUAAAGC
rnacentral:lncRNA from 1 species